rnacentral:rRNA from 1 species
UGGGUAACCUGCCUCAAAGAGGGGAAUAGCCUCCCCGAAAAGGGAGAUUAAUACCGCAUAAUAUGUUUAAGUCGCAUGACUUUAACAUCAAAGGAUUUUCUUUUAAGAAAUUCCACUUUGAGAUGGACCCGCGGCGCAUUAGCUAGUUGGUGAGGUAACGGCUCACCAAGGCAACGAUGCGUAGCCGACCUGAGAGGGUNAUCCGGCCACAGUUGGAAACUGAGACACGGUCCAGACUCCGUAGG